CAGCUGCACAUCCUGGGGCUCCUGACCUCCUCACGUUUGCCGUGUAGCCUAAGUUGGUCAGCACUGGAGGACCUCAGCAGCCACGUCGAAGCCCCAUAGUGAAGCUGGGACUGCCUUCAUUCAGACCCAGCAGCUCCAUGCAGCCAUGGCUGACACAUUCCUGGAGCACACGUGCCGCCUGGACAUUGACUCACCACCCAUCACAGCCGGGAACACUGGCAUCAUCUGUACCAUUGGCCCAGCUUCCCGAUCCGUGGAGACGUUGAAGGAGAUGAUUAAGUCUGGAAUGAAUGUGGCUCGGCUGAACUUCUCUCAUGGAACUCAUGAGUACCACGCGGAGACCAUCGAGAACGUGCGCGCAGCCACGGAAAGCUUUGCUUCUGAUCCCAUCCCCUACCGGCUCGUUGCCGUGGCUCUGGACACUAAAGGACCUGAGAUCCAAACUGGCCUCAUCAAGGGCAGUAGCACAGCAGAGGUGGAGCUGAAGAAGGGAGCAACUCUCAAAAUCACGCUGGAUAAUGCCUACAUGGAAAAGUGUGACAAGAACAUCCUGUGGCCGGACUACAAGAACAUCUGCAAGGUGGUGGAAGUGGGCAGCAAUAUCUAUGUGGAGGAUGGGCUUAUUUCCCUCCAGGUGAAGCAGAAAGGUGCUGACUUCCCGGUGAUGGAGGGAAAAAAUGGUGGCUCCUUGGGCAGCAAGAGGUGUGUGAACCUUCCUGGGGCUGCUGUGACUUGUCUGCUGUGUCAGAGGACAUCCAGGACCUGAAGUUUGGGGUCGAGAGGGAUGUCGAUAUGGUGUUUGCAUCAUUCAUCCGCAAGGCCUCUGAUGUCCACGAAGUGAGGAAGGUCCUGGGAAAGAAGGGACAGAACAUCAAGUAAUCAGCAAAAUCGAGAAUCAUGAGGUGGUUUGGAGGUUUGAUGAAAUCCUGGAGGCCAGUGAUGGGAUCACGGUGGCUCGUGGUGAUCUAGGCAUUGAGAUUCCUGCGGUGAAGGUCUUCCUUGCUCAGAAGAUGAUUGGGCGGUGAAACUGAGCUGGGAAGCCUGUCAUCUGUGCCACUCAUGCUGGAGAGUGUGAUCAGGAAGCUCCGCCCCACCCAGGCUGACGGCAGUGAUGUGGCCAGUGCAGUCCUGGAUGGAGCCGACUGCAUUAUGCUGUCUGGAGACAGCCAAAGGAGACUAUGCUCUGGAGGCUGUGCGCAUGCAGCACCUGACUGCCUGCAAGGCAGAGGCCGCCAACUAACACUUUUAAUUAUUUGAGGAACUCUACCACCCGGUGCCCAUUACCAGUGACCCACAAAAGCCAUCGCCGUGGGUGCCGUGGAGGCCUCCUUCAGGUGCUGCAGUGGGGCCAUAAUCAUUCUCACUGAGUCUGGCAGUUCUGCUCACCAGGUGCCCCUAUCAUUGCUCUGACAUGGAAUCCCCAGACAGCCCGUCAGGCCCACCUGAACUGUGGCAUCUUCCCUGUGCUGUGCAAGGACCCAGUCCAGGAGGCCUGGGCUGAGGACGUGGAGCUCUGGGUGCACUUGCCUAUGAAUGUUGGCAAGGCCCAAGGCUUCCUCAAGGAGAUGUGGUCAUUGUGCUGACUGGAAGGUAAACCGGCUCCGGCUUCACCAACACCAUGAAUGUUGUUUCUGUGCCAUCUCCAGAGCCCCUCCUCCAGUCCCUGCUCCACCCUCUUCCCCCAACCCAUCCAUUAGGCCAGCAUCAAUCGCUCGUAGAGCUCACUCUGGGCUGCAGUGUGGCACCGAUGGGCUGGGAUACCAGAGAAGAUCAACGCCUUGCUGAAACAUGGCUGUGUUUACAGUCUGCUCUGGUGGGACCGCCCAGAGCCUGGCUGCCCAUCAUGUGACCCCACCCAAUCAAGGGAAGAAGGAGGAAUGCUGGACUGGAGGCGCCAGGAGCCAGAUGGCAAGAGGGUGACAGCUUCCUUUCCUGUGUCUGUUCGAUCCCUUUAGAAAAUGGAUGCCCAGAGGACUCCCAACCAUCUGGAGUCAGGAAACAGCAAGCAAGAGUUAGGGGCCUUAAGUGCACAGAGCAGUUGUUCUUUUUAAGCCAACUCUGGCCCUGGCCCUUACUUGCUUCCCCAACCCCCUGGGC